AAUUCGAUUGAGUUUGAUCAUGGCUCAGGAUUAACGCUGGCAGCGUGCCUGACACAUGCAAGUCGAACGAGCGAAGCCCUUCGGGGCCGAGCGAGUGGCGGACGGGUGAGUAACACGUGAGGAACCUACCUUCAAGUGGGGAAUAACUGCCAGAAAUGGCAGCUAAUACCGCAUGCGGCUUCCUGGCGACAUCGCCGGGAAACCAAAGAUUUAUCGCUUGGAGACGGCCUCGCGGCCUAUUAGCUAGUUGGUGGGGUAACGGCCUACCAAGGCGAUGAUGGGUAGCUGGUCUGAGAGGACGAUCAGCCACACUGGGACUGAGACACGGCCCAGACUCCUACGGGAGGCAGCAGUGAGGAAUUUUCCGCAAUGGGCGCAAGCCUGACGGAGCAACGCCGCGUGUGUGAUGAAGUCCUUCGGGAUGUAAAGCACUGUCCGAGGGGAUGAACAAAUGACAGUACCCUCGAAGAAAGCCCCGGCUAACUACGUGCCAGCAGCCGCGGUAAUACGUAGGGGGCAAGCGUUAUCCGGAUUUACUGGGCGUAAAGGGCGUGUAGGUGGUUGCGUAAGUUGGUUGUGAAAUCUCCCGGCUCAACUGGGAAACUGCAGCUAAAACUGCGUGGCUAGAGUGGCAGAGAGGAAAGUGGAAUUCCCGGUGUAGUAGUGAAAUGCGUAGAUAUCGGGAGGAACACCUGCGGCGAAGG
rnacentral:rRNA from 1 species